rfam:Lupinus angustifolius cultivar Tanjil contig_10687, whole genome shotgun sequence.
UGGAGAAGGGGAGCACGUGCAAAUGGUGAGUUUCACUGUAAUGUAAGAGAACCAAGCCAGAAGAUUUGCACGUGCCCUGCUUCUCCAAC